rnacentral:misc_RNA from 1 species
GAUGAAGAACGUAGCGAAAUGCGAUAAGUAAUGUGAAUUGCAGAAUUCAGUGAAUCAUCGAAUCUUUGAACGCACAUUGCGCCCGCUAGUAUUCUGGCGGGCAUGCCUGUUCGAGCGUCAUUUCAACCAUCAAGCUCCUUAGCUUGUGUUGGGGACCUGCGGCUGCCGCAGCCCCCGAAAUGCAGUGGCGGGCUCGUUGUCACACCGAGUGCAGUAAUCAUUCUUCUCUCCGGGCGUGGCGGCGGGUUCCGGCCGUAAAAUCACCAAUUUAUCAAGGUUGACCUCGGAUCAGGUAGGAAUACCCGCUGAACUUAAGCAUACCAAUAAGCGGAGGA